rnacentral:lncRNA from 1 species
UGGCCUUUGCUCAGUCUCUUCAAUCAAGCCUGGCCCUUUCCUGUCUUGACCACAGAAUCAGAGACUAGUUGCUAGAUACCCAAACUGAGCUUGGGGAGAAGUCUGCAACCUAUGACGUCAGAAAAGACGGGACACAGUCUGUGAGAAGUAACGGCAGAGAAAGAAGACGCAUCAGAGCACAUUUCGUGACCAGGCGCGGACAGAAGGAAGUUGGAGCCAUGUGUCAUGUCUUGUCUAAGAGGACUUUCCCGAAGUACAUUGAGACUCACGUGACGCAUGGGUAUGGACCUGGUCCUCAGGGACCUAGAGGGUGUUGGAGCCGGCAGCCUAAGCUGAGGACUUGA